ensembl:lncRNA
CUUAUUUCUUUCUUUCUUCCUGGAUGGGGGGUGUCUACCUUCCUCAGCAGCCCCACUGAGCCAAUGAGGAACCAGCUUUAAUCACCGCCAGCUGCUGGAUUUUCAGAGGCCCCUUUUCCAUUUGGAAAUGAGAUGUUUCACAGAGAUCCCAGAGACCAAGGAAUGAACCGCAAACAUAUGCAGGGAACAAUCGCUUUUUAUAAAGCGCCAAAUCAAAUGUCAACCCAGAAACCUCCGGUCUUGGAGCACAAGAGGAGACUUUAUUCACUCUCCAUACAUGACCUCUGCUCAGCGCUAUGUGCUGCUCGGAUGGAACCGCUUCUGCCUUGGCCAGGAAAUGAAGCUCAAAUAUAUGUAUGAAAAGAGGCUGUUUAAAGUCAGAUUUACGCAUAAGCUUAAUAUUUAUUGACUUUAGAAUGUGUAACAGGCACUGAUGUGUGCGCGGGCCCUCUCUCUUCUGAUCAGUACACAGCAAUCAUUCACUCAGAAACACACAGUAUCAUCGACUGGCCCACAGCAGCAUGUCCUACUAAUGGGAACCAGCAGGCAUUUAUGUUUUUCCUUUUCUUAUUUUUUGUUCCUUUUUUAUUUCCAGAAGGGAACCUUUUCCAGUGUAACUAGACACUCGGGAACACUGCUGGUUAGGAUCCAGAAACAACAAGACUCCCAGCCUCAACAUCCUAUCACCUCCCCCCAAACCUUCUCUCCUCUUCACCUCUCCUUUCCUCCUCUCCCGUCUCUUUCUCUCUCCUCCUCUCCAUUCCUCUCUUGUCCUAUACCUCUGGCCUCACCUCUCCUCCUUUCUCCCCUCAUGUCCUCUCCUCAUCUCCUCUCUGCUUGUAUCCACUCUUCUCUGCUCCUCUCUUCUCCACCUAUCUACCUCCUCUUCUCUCCUCCACUGUUCCAGGGAAUGAACAACUACCUCAGUAAGAGAAAGAGUCUUUCCUUCCUCUUUUCUUCUCUUCUCUGUUCCUGGGAACCAAAACUUUGUUUUAAUUCAGUACUUCCGUCUACCUCUCUCUAUCUCUUUAUAUUUCUCUCCCUUUCUCUCCCUGCCUCUGUUAACCUAGAAACACCAUGUCUGAACUUUGUUUGUCU